CAAACUCUCCAACCAUGUUUAUCUACCAUUUUGCUCUCCGGCAGGCGGUUCCAGGGAGGGACCGAGCCUAUGGCCUAGCCUAAGCACCUGCCGAAGGGGUAUUUACUGCUCUAUAUUAUACUGUCUGAGAAACAAAAAAAUAAUCAAAAUUUUCAAUUGUGGAUCUCUUGGUUCUGGCAUCGAUGAAGAACGCAGCGAAAUGCGAUAAGUAAUGUGAAUUGCAGAAUUCAGCGAACCAUCGAAUCUUUGAACGCACAUUGCGCCCAUUAGUAUUCUAUUGGGCAUGCCUGUUCGAGCGUCAUUUCAACCCUCAGGCUUCGGUCUGGUGCUAGGGCAUUGCACUGCAAGUCCUGAAAAAUAGUGGCGGACUCACUGAAAUCCGAGCGUAGUAAUUUCUCUUGCUAUGGACUUUUGGUGAUGCUCCUGCCGUAAAACCCCCCCUAUAUUACAAGGUUGACCUCGGAUCAGGUAGGAAUACCCGCUGAACUUAA
rnacentral:rRNA from 1 species